rnacentral:misc_RNA from 1 species
UUCUGUGGGAGCUGGCUUGCCUGCGAUGCAGACACCUCGGUAUGCCAGGCGCACCGGGGUGAUGCUAUCGCAGGCAAGCCAGCUCCCACAUUUU